GACGAACGCUGGCGGCGUGCUUAACACAUGCAAGUCGAACGGAAAGGCCCUGCUUUUUUGGGGUGCUCGAGUGGCGAACGGGUGAGUAACACGUGAGUAACCUGCCCUUGACUUUGGUAUAACUUCAGGAAACUGGGGCUACUACCGUAUCGGAGCUCCUGCUGCAUGGUGGGGGUUGGAACGUUUCGGCGGUUGGGGAUGGACUCGCGGCUUAUCAGCUUGUUGGUGGGGUAGUGGCUUACCCAGGCUUUGACGGGUAGCCGGCCUGAGAGGGUGACCGGCGACAUUGGGACUGAGAUACGGCGCAGACGCCUACGGGAGGCAGCAGGGGGGAAUAUUGCACAAUGGGCGGAAGACUGAUGAAGAAACGCCGCGGGCGGGAUGACGGCCUUCGGGUUGUAAACAGCUGUAGCCUGUGACGAAGCGUGAGUGACGGUAAUGGGUAAAGAAGCACCGGCUAACUACGUG
rnacentral:rRNA from 1 species